GCCAUCUUGCGAGCUCGUCGUACUGACCGAGCGGGGAGGCUGUCUUGAGGCGGCACCGCUCACCGACACCGAGGCGGACUGGCAGCCCUGAGCGUCGCAGUCAUGCCGGCCGGACCCGUGCAGGCGGUGCCCCCGCCGCCGCCCGUGCCCACGGAGCCCAAACAGCCCACAGAAGAAGAAGCAUCUUCAAAGGAGGAUUCUGCACCUUCUAAGCCAGUUGUGGGGAUUAUUUACCCUCCUCCAGAGGUCAGAAAUAUUGUUGACAAGACUGCCAGCUUUGUGGCCAGGUAACAGAGCUACUUGGGUGGGUCAGAGGUGGGUUUCAGCAUGAAGAGACUUCAGCACUGAAUCAGCACAAGGGUUUUUAAAGAGACGUUGUUGGCUUGGGCCUUUUAGUUCAUAAAAAACCACAACAUGGCACUGGGGUAGGCAAUAGGUAGGACUGGUGUCCCUGACACAGCAUAGCAGUGGCCAAAGUGAGAAUCACACUUAGCCCCACAGUCACCAGGAGCCUCUGCUUCUAAAACUGGCCUGAGGAAAUGCCUGGAAAGCUGCUUCAUCACAGAUGGUGUGUGUCUGUGCCUGAGCUGCUGGCCUGAGGAAGAUAAAAAGGGGAGUUUAUUAUUCUCAUUGUACAAAGACCACAUUCCAAGAGCCUCAAAUGACCCAUCUGCAAAAUGGAAAAAAUGCCAU
rnacentral:lncRNA from 1 species